CGCCUGCCAAGUACCUCAGUGUUUCUCUCAAGGCUAAAGUGCUUCUCUUGGUGUCCAAGAUUGUAAGCAGCAGCAUCCUGCUCAUGAAAGAAACACUGAGGUACUUGGCAGGCGUUGCAGGCCCAAGUGGUUAUGGCUCAAAUUCAACAGCUGAGCAAGUCACUCAAGAUUGUGCCUGCUUAGUUCCUCUCCAUCUAACUGCUAUCCUCACUGGGGCUACGUCAGGUAUUGGAGUUGAAACUGCUAGAGUAUUGGCUAAGAGAGGUGUGAGACUGGUGAUUCCUGCAAGAGACUUGAAAAAAGCUGCUGAAGUGAAAGAAGCUAUACAGAAGGAGACUCCAAAGGCAGAGAUACUAAUAUUUGAGACUGAUUUAAGUUGCUUUGCUUCUGUGAAGAGAUUUGCUUCUGAUUUUCUUGCUUUAGGAAUACCCCUUAAUAUUCUUAUAAAUAAUGCUGGGAUAUUUUCUCGGAAUUUGGAAUUCUCAGAAGACAAAAUUGAGAUGACAUGCGCUACAAAUUGUUUAGGUAAACUUUAUAUGAGUUAGUGAUAAAAAUGGACCGUUAUUAAAAUCAUGAUAAUUUUAACAGAUUCUUUAUUCUUAUAUAACCCGCAUAGAGCACAUUCCACAUGAAAUCUGGGAGGCCAGUUCUAGGCACGCCCAACUCACACACACUCGUUAAGCUUCUUUCUACAUAAAAAUAAUAUUUUCU
rnacentral:misc_RNA from 1 species